rnacentral:rRNA from 1 species
UACAGAGGGUGCGAGCGUUGUCCGGAAUCACUGGGCGUAAAGGGCGCGUAGGCGGCUUGAUAAGCGUGCGGUGAAAGCCCGGGGCUCAACCCCGGGUCGGCCGUGCGAACUGUCGAGCUGGAGCACUGUAGAGGCAGGUGGAAUUCCGGGUGUAGCGGUGGAAUGCGUAGAGAUCCGGAAGAACACCGGUGGCGAAGGCGGCCUGCUGGGCAGUGGCUGACGCUGGAGGAGCGGAAGUGUGGGGAGCGAACAGGG